GGUGUGAACCAUCGAAAUCGGUUGUUUUAAACAACCCCUCAACCUCUUUAAGUUACCACACAUUCAUAUAACAUCAUCGCACAACCUCCAAACUUCCAUCCUUUUGAGUCCAAAUCUAGGUCGAGGCAACCGAAGAUUUGUCACCGUUGCACCACCGGUUGAGAGCUCACAACGACUUCAAGUUUCGGUCUAUGGAACACGUCUCCGUUUGAUUAUUCGUAAGCUCAAAGUCAUUGGUUCGGUCAGAUCUAUUUGGUAAUUAAGCCAUCGCACACCCUCUAGUUUGAGCAAUCGCGGCCGCUGCCGUAUUCUUUUCUCGUCUUCGUGUGACCCGACCAGACGUUGAUACCGACUCUGACACACCAAAGUUUCUGCAUAGUAUUUGAUUCAGUUCCAUCUACUCCCAUUCUCUCGAGG